rnacentral:rRNA from 1 species
UUGGAGGGCAAGUCUGGUGCCAGCAGCCGCGGUAAUUCCAGCUCCAAUAGCGUAUAUUAAAGUUGUUGCAGUUAAAAAGCUCGUAGUUGAAUUUCGGAAUCUGUCCAUCGGUCGGGCUUCACUGUUCGUACUGGUGUGGUGGGUUCUUACCUUCUGAAUAACCAGCAUGCCAUUAAUUUGGUGCGUUGGGGAAGCAGGACUAUUACCUUGAAAAAAUUAGAGUGCUCAAAGCAGGCCAGUGCCUGAAUACAUUAGCAUGGAAUAAUAAAAUAGGACGGCAUGGUUCUAUUUUGUUGGUUUCUAGGAUCACCGUAAUGAUUAAUAGGGAUAGUUGGGGGCAUUAGUAUUCAAUUGUCAGAGGUGAAAUUCUUGGAUUUAUUGAAGACUAACUUCUGCGAAAGCAUUUGCCAAGGAUGUUUUCAUUAAUCAAGAACGAAAGUUAGGGGAUCGAAGACGAUCAGAUACCGUCGUAGUCUUAACCAUAAACUAUGCCGACUAGGGAUCGGACGAUGUUAAUUUUUUAAUGACUCGUUCGGCGCCUUACGGGAAAC